rnacentral:ribozyme from 14 species
AGUUUGUUGUUGUUUUCAUUUGUUUUGUUAAUUGUUUUUUCCCCCUUUUCACUGUUUGCAUUAGUUUAUAAUAAUAAAACAAUUGACAAAACAAGAAG